GUUACUAUCUGAAAGAAGCCAAG
rnacentral:piRNA from 1 species